CCUACGGGAGGCAGCAGUGGGGAAUAUUGCGCAAUGGACGCAAGCCUGACGCAGCGACGCCGCGUGAGGGAUGAAGGUCUUCGGAUCGUAAACCUCUGUCAGCAGGGAAGAACGGUCACUGUGCUAAUCAGCAGUGAAUUGACGGUACCUGCAAAGGAAGCACCGGCUAACUCCGUGCCAGCAGCCGCGGUAAUACGGAGGGUGCGAGCGUUAAUCGGAAUUACUGGGCGUAAAGCGCUCGUAGGCGGUAUGUCAAGUCAAGGGUGAAAUCCCCGCGCUCAACGUGGGAACUGCCUUUGAAACUGGCAAACUGGAGUGUGUGAGAGGAUAGUGGAAUUCCAGGUGUAGGAGUGAAAUGCGUAGAUAUCUGGAGGAACAUCAGUGGCGAAGGCGACUAUCUGGCACAUAACUGACGCUGAGGAGCGAAAGCGUGGGUAGCAAACAGGAUUAGAUACCCGAGUAGUC
rnacentral:rRNA from 1 species